UACAUAUUGGUCUCAGUUUGUUUCAAAAG
rnacentral:piRNA from 1 species